UACGGAGGAGGCAAGCGUUGUCCGGAUUCAUUGGGCGUAAAGCGCGUGUAGGCGGCCAGGUAGGUCUGCUGUGAAAACUCGAGGCUCAACCUCGAGACGUCGGCGGAAACCAUCUGGCUAGAGUCCGGAAGAGGAGAGUGGAAUUCCUGGUGUAGCGGUGAAAUGCGCAGAUAUCAGGAAGAACACCCGUGGCGAAGGCGGCUCUCUGGGACGGUACUGACGCUGAGACGCGAAAGCGUGGGGAGCGAACAGG
rnacentral:rRNA from 1 species